CAGAAGCUGUAGAUACCUUGUUGGCAGACACUCAUGAGCUUGGUGGUUCAACUGUAGUUGUUGAUCGUGCUACUCCAAAGGAAGAAGACAAGUACCCAAUCAGAGCAUCCCAGGGUGGAUUUGGUGCAUAUAAUCCACAUGGUGGAUAUGGUGCAUAUAAUGCUUAUAUUUCUGCUGCAACUCGCUAUGCUGCUUUAGGUGCGCCUACAAUGUAUGAUACUCCUGGUGCAGCUUAUGGAAGGCUAUUUCAACAAUCCCGUGGAAUGGGCAACAAGAUAUUUGUUGGUAGACUUCCCCAGGAGGCAACUGCUGAAGAUCUUCGCCAUUACUUCGGUAGAUUUGGCCGUAUAAUAGAUGCUUAUAUCCCAAAGGAUCCAAAACGGAGUGGCCAUAGAGGUUUUGGUUUUGUAACUUUUG
rnacentral:misc_RNA from 1 species